rnacentral:rRNA from 1 species
GACGAACGCUGGCGGCGUGCUUAGCACAUGCAAGUCGAACGGAAAGGCCCUGCUUUUGUGGGGUGCUCGAGUGGCGAACGGGUGAGUAACACGUGAGUAACCUGCCCUUGACUUUGGGAUAACUUCAGGAAACUGGGGCUAAUACCGGAUAGGAGCUCCUGCUGCAUGGUGGGGGUUGGAAAGUUUCGGCGGUUGGGGAUGGACUCGCGGCUUAUCAGCUUGUUGGUGGGGUAGUGGCUUACCAAGGCUUUGACGGGUAGCCGGCCUGAGAGGGUGACCGGCCACAUUGGGACUGAGAUACGGCCCAGACUCCUACGGGAGGCAGCAGUGGGGAAUAUUGCACAAUGGGCGGAAGCCUGAUGCAGCAACGCCGCGUGCGGGAUGACGGCCUUCGGGUUGUAAACCGCUUUCGCCUGUGACGAAGCGUGAGUGACGGUAAUGGGUAAAGAGGCACCGGCUAACUACGUG